rnacentral:rRNA from 1 species
AAAACUUUUAACAACGGAUCUCUUGGUUCUGGCAUCGAUGAAGAACGCAGCGAAAUGCGAUAAGUAAUGUGAAUUGCAGAAUUCAGUGAAUCAUCGAAUCUUUGAACGCACAUUGCGCCCGCCAGCAUUCUGGCGGGCAUGCCUGUUCGAGCGUCAUUUCAACCCUCAAGCUCUGCUUGGUGUUGGGGCUCUACGGUUGACGUAGGCCCUUAAAGGUAGUGGCGGACCCUCUCGGAGCCUCCUUUGCGUAGUAACAUUUCGUCUCGCAUUGGGAUUCGGAGGGACUCUAGCCGUAAAACCCCCAAUUUUACUAAGGUUGACCUCGGAUCAGGUAGGAAUACCCGCUGAACUUAAGCAUAUCAAUAAGCGGAGGAAAAGAAACCAACAGGGAUUGCCCCAGUAACGGCGAGUGAAGCGGCAACAGCUCAAAUUUGAAAUCUGGCCCUAGGCCCGAGUUGUAAUUUGCAGAGGAUGCUUUUGGCGCGGUGCCUUCCGAGUUCCCUGGAACGGGACGCCAUAGAGGGUGAGAGCCCCGUACGGUUGGACACCAAGUCUUUGUAAAGCUCCUUCGACGAGUCGAGUAGUUUGGGAAUGCUGCUCAAAAUGGGAGGUAUAUUUCUUCUAAAGCUAAAUAUUGGCCAGAGACCGAUAGCGCACAAGUAGAGUGAUCGAAAGAUGAAAAGCACUUUGAAAAGAGGGUUAAACAGCACGUGAAAUUGUUAAAAGGGAAGCGCUUGUGACCAGACUUGCGUCCGGUGAAUCACCCAGCUCUCGCGGCUGGGGCAUUUUGCCGGCUCAGGCCAGCAUCAGCUUGCCGUCGGGGACAAAAGCUUCGGGAACGUAGCUCUCUUCGGGGAGUGUUAUAGCCCGUUGCAUAAUACCCUUCGGUGGGCUGAGGUACGCGCUCCGCAAGGAUGCUGGCGUAAUGGUCAUCAGCGACCCGUCUUGAAACACGGACCAAGGAGUCAACCUUAUGUGCGAGUGUUUGGGUGUUAAACCCCUACGCGUAAUGAAAGUGAACGCAGGUGAGAGCUUCGGCGCAUCAUCGACCGAUCCUGAUGUUCUCGGAUGGAUUUGAGUAAGAGCAUAUAGGGUUGGACCCGAAAGAAGGUGAACUAUGCGUGUAUAGGGUGAAGCCAGAGGAAACUCUGGUGGAGGCUCGCAGCGGUUCUGACGUGCAAAUCGAUCGUCAAAUAUGCGCAUGGGGGCGAAAGACUAAUCGAACCUUCUAGUAGCUGGUUUCCGCCGAAGUUUCCCUCAGGAUAGCAGUGUUGAACUCAGUUUUAUGAGGUAAAGCGAAUGAUUAGGGACUCGGGGGCGCUAUAUUGCCUUCAUCCAUUCUCAAACUUUAAAUAUGUAAGAAGCCCUUGUUACUUAAUUGAACGUGGGCAUUCGAAUGUAUCAACACUAGUGGGCCAUUUUUGGUAAGCAGAACUGGCGAUGCGGGAUGAACCGAACGCGAGGUUAAGGUGCCAGAGUAGACGCUCAUCAGACACCACAAAAGGUGUUAGUACAUCUUGACAGCAGGACGGUGGCCAUGGAAGUCGGAAUCCGCUAAGGACUGUGUAACAACUCACCUGCCGAAUGUACUAGCCCUGAAAAUGGAUGGCGCUCAAGCGUCUCACCCAUACCUCGCCCUCAGUGUAGAAACGAUGCGCUGAGGAGUAGGCGGACGUGGAGGUCAGUGACGAAGCCUAGGGCGUGAGCCCGGGUAGAACGGCCUCUAGUGCAGAUCUUGGUGGUAGUAGCAAAUACUUCAAUGAGAACUUGAAGGACCGAAGUGGGGAAAGGUUCCAUGUGAACAGCGGUUGGACAUGGGUUAGUCGAUCCUAAGCCAUAGGGAAGUUCCGUUUCAAAGGGGCACUUGUGCCCCGUAUGGCGAAAGGGAAGCCGGUCAAUAUUCCGGCACCUGGAUGUGGGUUUUGCGCGGUAACGCAACUGAACGCGGAGACGACGGCGGGGGCCCCGGGCAGAGUUCUCUUUUCUUCUUAACGGUCUAUCACCCUGAAAUCGGUUUGUCCGGAGCUAGGGUUUAACGGCCGGAAGAGCCCAGCACUUCUGUUGGGUCCGGUGCGCUCUCGACGUCCCUUGAAAAUCCGCGGGAAGGAAUAAUUCUCACGCCAGGUCGUACUCAUAACCGCAGCAGGUCUCCAAGGUGAACAGCCUCUGGUUGAUAGAACAAUGUAGAUAAGGGAAGUCGGCAAAACAGAUCCGUAACUUCGGGAUAAGGAUUGGCUCUAAGGGUUGGGUACGUUGGGCUUUAGGCGGACGGCUCGGGAGCAGGUCGCCACUAGCCGGGCAACCGGCCGGAGGCUUCCAGCAUCUGGGUUCUGACGCCUUUAGCAGGCUUCGGCCGUCCGGCGUACGGUUAACAACCAACU